GAUGAAGAACGUAGCGAAAUGCGAUACGUAAUGUGAAUUGCAGAAUUCAGUGAAUCAUCGAGUCUUUGAACGCACAUUGCGCCCUCUGGUAUUCCGGGGGGCAUGCCUGUCCGAGCGUCAUUGCUGCCCUCAAGCACGGCUUGUGUGUUGGGCCCCCGUCCCGGUUCUUUAAGCCGGGACGGGCCCGAAAGGCAGCGGCGGCACCGUGUCCGGUCCUCGAGUGUAUGGGGCUCUGUCACCCACUCGUGUAGGUCCGGCCGGCGGCCAGCCACUUCAACCAAACUUUUAACCAGGUUGACCUCGGAUCAGGUAGGGAUACCCGCUGAACUUAAGCAUAUCAAUAAGCGGAGGA
rnacentral:misc_RNA from 1 species